rnacentral:rRNA from 1 species
UACGGAGGGUGCAAGCGUUAUCCGGAUUCACUGGGUUUAAAGGGAGCGCAGGCGGAUUUGUAAGUCAGUGGUGAAAGGCUUAAGCUUAACUUGGGAACUGCCAUUGAUACUAUAAGUCUUGAAUGUUGUUGAGGUUUGCGGAAUGGGUCAUGUAGCGGUGAAAUGCAUAGAUAUGACCCGGAACACCUAUUGCGAAGGCAGCAGGCUGAACAAAUAUUGACGCUGAGGCUCGAAAGCGUGGGGAUCAAACAGG